rnacentral:rRNA from 1 species
AAUGAACGCUAGCUCCAGGCUUAACACAUGCAAGUCGAGGGACCGGCGCACGGGUGAGUCACACGUAUCCAACCUGCACUUUACUCGGGGAUAGCCUUUAUAGGGGACGAUUAAUACCCGAUGUAAUGGAUGGGGAGGCGUUCCAUUAGGUUGUGGGUGAGGUAACGCCCAACCAAGCGUUCUAUAGAUAGGGGUUCUGAGAGGAAGGCACACCACAUUGGAACCGAGACCCGGUCCAAACUCGUAGGGGAGGCAGAAGGGAUGAAUACUGGGCAAUCGACGUUAGCCUGACCAUGCCAAGUAGCGUGAAGGAUGAAUGCUUUUGGGUCGUAAAUCUCUUUUAUAUAAGAAUAGGUAUUAUAUGAAUAAGGAUCGGCUAACUCCGUGCCAGCCGCCGCGGUAAUAC